ensembl:misc_RNA Metazoa_SRP Metazoan signal recognition particle RNA
GCCGGGUGCGGUGGCUCACACCUGUAAUCCCAGCACUUUGGGAGGCCGAGGCGGGUGGAUCACCUGAGGUCGGGAGUUCGAGACCAGCCUGACCAACAUGGAGAAACCCCGUCUCUA